GGGGAUUUAGCUCAGUGGUAGAGCGCUUACCUAGGAAGCACAAGGUCCUGGGUUCGGUCCCCAGCUCCA
rnacentral:tRNA from 1 species